UGCCAGCCUCCGCGGUACUACUUAUUGUCCAAUCGUUAAUCGGAAUUACUGGGCGUAAAGCGUGCGCAGGCGGUUGUGCAAGACCGAUGUGAAAUCCCCGAGCUUAACUUGGGAAUUGCAUUGGUGACUGCGCGGCUAGAGUGUGUCAGAGGGGGGUAGAAUUCCACGUGUAGCAGUGAAAUGCGUAGAGAUGUGGAGGAAUACCGAUGGCGAAGGCAGCCCCCUGGGAUAACACUGACGCUCAUGCACGAAAGCGUGGGGAGCAAACAGGAUUAGAUA
rnacentral:rRNA from 1 species